rnacentral:rRNA from 1 species
GCUUGCAUCUUGAUUUAAUUUUGAACGAGUGGCGGACGGGUGAGUAACACGUGGGUAACCUGCCCUUAAGUGGGGGAUAACAUUUGGAAACAGAUGCUAAUACCGCAUAAAUCCAAGAACCGCAUGGUUCUUGGCUGAAAGAUGGCGUAAGCUAUCGCUUUUGGAUGGACCCGCGGCGUAUUAGCUAGUUGGUGAGGUAACGGCUCACCAAGGCAAUGAUACGUAGCCGAACUGAGAGGUUGAUCGGCCACAUUGGGACUGAGACACGGCCCAAACUCCUACGGGAGGCAGCAGUAGGGAAUCUUCCACAAUGGACGCAAGUCUGAUGGAGCAACGCCGCGUGAGUGAAGAAGGCUUUCGGGUCGUAAAACUCUGUUGUUGGAGAAGAAUGGUCGGCAGAGUAACUGUUGUCGGCGUGACGGUAUCCAACCAGAAAGCCACGGCUAACUACGUGCCAGCAGCCGCGGUAAUACGUAGGUGGCAAGCGUUAUCCGGAUUUAUUGGGCGUAAAGCGAGCGCAGGCGGUUUUUUAAGUCUGAUGUGAAAGCCCUCGGCUUAACCGAGGAAGUGCAUCGGAAACUGGGAAACUUGAGUGCAGAAGAGGACAGUGGAACUCCAUGUGUAGCGGUGAAAUGCGUAGAUAUAUGGAAGAACACCAGUGGCGAAGGCGGCUGUCUGGUCUGUAACUGACGCUGAGGCUCGAAAGCAUGGGUAGCGAACAGGAUUAGAUACCCUGGUAGUCCAUGCCGUAAACGAUGAAUGCUAGGUGUUGGAGGGUUUCCGCCCUUCAGUGCCGCAGCUAACGCAUUAAGCAUUCCGCCUGGGGAGUACGACCGCAAGGUUGAAACUCAAAGGAAUUGACGGGGGCCCGCACAAGCGGUGGAGCAUGUGGUUUAAUUCGAAGCAACGCGAAGAACCUUACCAGGUCUUGACAUCUUUUGAUCACCUGAGAGAUCAGGUUUCCCCUUCGGGGGCAAAAUGACAGGUGGUGCAUGGUUGUCGUCAGCUCGUGUCGUGAGAUGUUGGGUUAAGUCCCGCAACGAGCGCAACCCUUAUGACUAGUUGCCAGCAUUUAGUUGGGCACUCUAGUAAGACUGCCGGUGACAAACCGGAGGAAGGUGGGGAUGACGUCAAAUCAUCAUGCCCCUUAUGACCUGGGCUACACACGUGCUACAAUGGAUGGUACAACGAGUUGCGAGACCGCGAGGUCAAGCUAAUCUCUUAAAGCCAUUCUCAGUUCGGACUGUAGGCUGCAACUCGCCUACACGAAGUCGGAAUCGCUAGUAAUCGCGGAUCAGCACGCCGCGGUGAAUACGUUCCCGGGCCUUGUACACACCGCCCGUCACACCAUGAGAGUUUGUAACACCCGAA